AAAAAGGCAUGAGUGGUGUUUGGUUUGAUACGGGUGGUUGGCUCCCUGCUUGAGCAGGCACGGCCGCGCGUGCAUUCCUCUUCAGUUUUCCGGCGAGACUUGUAUUGUCUUGAUCGUAUAAGUGGGUUUCUUGUGUUGCAUACCUGAUCUAUGGCAUUGUUUUGAUCAAAAGUGUAUCUUUUUCGUCCGGCAAUGCAUCCGCAUUGUCGGAUGAACCGAGCAGCAUCCUCUUUGAUCCAUAAAGUUGACGUGCAUUCGUUGAUUGUUUGGCCCGUUGAGGAUGUCUUGGUCUCUUGGAUAUGGAAGCCAAAGUGGGCAUGGGUUCGGAAGAUCCCUUUACUGCCCUCAUUGAGCGUUCUCGCUUCUCUUACACGACUGCCUUUCACGUAUGGCAUGUCCCAACGUGUUUGGCUACGUCGAAGAGGAAUGCUACCU
rnacentral:misc_RNA from 1 species